GUGGGAUUGGGUCGGGGGGUCCCGGGACCGUCCAGACCAAGGCAGGGGUCUCGGGGAUGUCCAGACCGAGCCGGGGGUCCCAGGACCAGCCGGGCCGGGCCAGGGGGUCCCAUCCGGGCCCAGCCCCGGCCCGCGGUGCCACCCCCGUGUCCCGCCCCCCCUCCAGGGCCACGCGGACCCCGAGGGUCAGUACCAAAACCACCUGGAGGCCGAGGGGCUCUACGGGGACCCCGAGCUGCCGUACCCGCCCCGCGCCGAGCGGGACCUGCCCUACCCGGCCCACGGCGACCCCGACGGGGCGUACCCGGCGCAUCUGGACCGCGACGGGACCUACCCCGAACAUCUGGAGCACGACGGGACCUACCCGGAGCACCUGGAGCGGGAGCGGCCGUACCCCGGGCACCUGGAGCGGGACGCGCAGUUCGAGGCUCUGCCCGAGCGGGACGGGCCCUUCUCCGGCCGCGCCGAGCACGAGCGGCCCUACCCGAGCCGCAAGGAGCGGGACCGGCCCUACCUGAGCCGAGCCGAGCGGGACGGGCCCUACGCGGCCCGGCUGGAGCAGGAGGGGCAGUUCCACGGCUGCCUGGAGCGGGACCUCCAGUACCAGCCGCACCUGGAGCGCGAUGGGCAGUACCCGGGCAGGAUGGAGCAGGACGGACAAUAUUCCGGCCGCAUGGAGCAGGACGGGCAAUAUCCCGGCCGAAUGGACCGCGAGGGGCCGUACCCGGCCCGGCUGGACCGCGACGGGCAGUACCCGGAGAGGGACCCGCAGUACCCGGAGCGGGACGCGCAGUACCCGGCCCGGCUGGAGCAGGAGGGGCCGUACCCGGCCCGGUUGGAGCGGGAGGGGCCGUUCCGGGCCCGGGACGGGCACUACGGGCCCUGCUGGGAGCGGGACUGGGCGCGGGGGCCGCUGAGCCGCGGCCCCUCCCGCAGCUCCAGCCCCGGGGGGGGGCACAGCACCAGCGCCAGCACCAGCCCGGCCACGACCCUGCAGCGCAAGUACGGCCCCAAAAACCGCGAUCGGGGAUGGGGAACGGCCCCAAA
rnacentral:lncRNA from 1 species